UCAUGGAGCGGGGCGAGGGUGGCGAGGUGUACCCGGGAGUUGUAAGCCAGCAGCCGGGCCCCAAACUUGUGCCAUCCUCGCCCCGAGCGCGCCCCGGGGUGCCGUGUUCUCCCUUGGCGAGGCUCGGCCACGUUGACUCGGAAGCCCGGGGCUGCGUUGGGAAGGGGGGUCACUUAAUGCGGGCCUGGGGCUGGUGCCCCUGCGAGGCAGCGGGCUCGGGUGGCAGCGUGGGGAGGGAAAAGUCAGAGUAAACGGCAGCAGCAGGUGAAGAGCAAAAUGUCUGAGAAUAAGGGCUCUGCAGAAUAUUUUCCCAUUGCCAACAGUUUGUCUUGCAGGGACUUCUUGAGGAAGGGAUGGAGUCUACGCACUUCAUUAUUGCCGGUGGAUUUCACCUCCGUGGGCUUCUCUGGUUGCCCCUUCGGACCAUGGAAAGUUUUAGCAUGCACAUGGUACAUAGUCAUCAAAGAUAUUUCUUGGCCCAGUUGUAUGUUUUGUGAAGAAACACAUUUUGGUUAAAACCUGCCCACUGCUAAUUUCAUUUUGUAACCCUUUGUUCUUCAGAGAGACUAUGGCCACUUACGGUGUCCACACUACUCGCUUUAUGGAUCUCAAUCUUAUUACUCCCUGACACCCUUUUGUAUGCCAAAUACUACUUGACCGCUGCAGUUACUCCUUGGUAAUCUUCAUUAGCUUCUCUGACCUUUUCCAGCUAUAUCCUUUCUGAAGCAGGAUUGGAAUGACACAGUAUUCAAGCAUGUGCAUGGUAUGAGUUUACAAAGCAGCAUAUUUAUUAUCCGUUGUGUGCUCUGUUCAUCUGCUAAUGUUUCUUAACCAUCUAUUUGCUUUAUGAGACCAUCCCUGAGCCUUGAGCGGACGUUAAAGAGGAUCAAAGCUGUACCAGGGGCUUGAAAGACAGCAAGAUGGUAUAACAUUGCCAGGUACAAUUAGUACUGAAACUGUAUUCAGCUCGAGGUAAAGAAUACAAUCUCUGCUCUGAGAAUAUGAGGUUGUGACAGAUCCCAGCAUGACAAAAAUACAAAUGGGAAGUAAAAAGGGUAGAGCUCCAUCAUCAGCUUUGCCUGCAGCUGAUUGGAACAGUCCAGUUUUCCCCGAGAAAUCCCUGCUGCAGGUUUCUGCUGCUACCUUUGCAUCAUGUCUAAGUCAUCGCAUGGCAACAAGGUGGAAUCUAAUAUUUUUUUAUGGGUUUUCUGCUGGUUCAGUGCAUGGCACCGACUCAUUAUAGAGACCUGAUUGCCUUAUCCAGUGCACCGCAAGCAACACAAGAAAGCAGGAGCUGGACCACCCCUUUCACAGUCAUCUCAAGGAUACACCCUACGUGAAAUCCAAACCUUCGCAGCGCUGGGCCUCAGAUCUGCUCAUCAAGAUCUCUACUUGGCAUCUUAGUAAUCUGCAGUACUAAUGUGAAUCAAUGCCAUGACCUACACUGGCUUCCAUUCAUUUCACUCUUCUUUUGCAAGACCAGGAUUGGAGUAUUUAAAGCCUGUUUACUAGACCGUGUGCCAUUAUCAAGUCUUUUUGGAAAUUACACCAUGUCUGGUUUUGAACACUAAAAAGUCAGUUC